rnacentral:rRNA from 1 species
GGUCAUGUUAAGCAUCUAUACAGUGAAACUGCGAAUGGCUCAUUAAAUCAGUUAUCGUUUAUUUGAUAGUACCUUACUACUUGGAUAACCGUGGUAAUUCUAGAGCUAAUACAUGCUAAAAAUCCCGACCCCUGGAAGGGAUGUAUUUAUUAGAUAAAAAACCAAUGCCUCCGGGCUCCUUGGUGAUUCAUGAUAACUUAACGAAUCGCAUGGCCUUGCGCCGGCGAUGGUUCAUUCAAAUUUCUGCCCUAUCAAGUUUCGAUGGUAGGAUAGUGGCCUACCAUGCUUUCAACGGGUAACGGGGAAUUAGGGUUCUAUUCCGGAGAGGGAGCCUGAGAAACGGCUACCACAUCCAAGGAAGGCAGCAGGCGCGCAAAUUACCCAAUCCCGACACGGGGAGGUAGUGACAAUAAAUACUGAUACAGGGCUCUUUGUGGUCUUGUAAUUGGAAUGAGUACGAUCUAAAAACUCUAACGAGGAACAAUUGGAGGGCAAGUCUGGUGCCAGCAGCCGCGGUAAUUCCAGCUCCAAUAGCGUAUAUUAAAGUUGUUGCAGUUAAAAAGCUCGUAGUUGAACCUUGGGCCGGGGUGGUGGGUCCGCCUCACCGCGUGCACUCGCCCGCUCUGGCCUUUCCUUCUGGCAAACCCCAUGCCCUUCACUGGGUGUGGCGGGGAACCAGGACUUUUACUUUGAAAAAAUUAGAGUGUUCAAAGCAGGCAUAUGCUCGAAUACAUUAGCAUGGAAUAAUAGAAUAGGACGUGUGGUUCUAUUUUGUUGGUUUCUAGGACCACCGUAAUGAUUAAUAGGGAUAGUCGGGGGCAUCCGUAUUCAACUGUCAGAGGUGAAAUUCUUGGAUUUGUUGAAGACGAACUACUGCGAAAGCAUUUGCCAAGGAUGUUUUCAUUAAUCAGGAACGAAAGUUGAGGGAUCGAAGACGAUCAGAUACCGUCGUAGUCUCAACCAUAAACUAUGCCGACUAGGGGCCGGGCGACGUUCUUAUUUUGACCCGCUCGGAACCUUACGAGAAAUCAAA